rnacentral:lncRNA from 10 species
UUUUUAUCAUUAGGAGAAACAAUAAAACCAUAACUCUCCUUCCAAAACUCACGAAUGAGCCUUAGAGAUGAAAAGAAAACAAUUGCAAAUGAGCGAUGCAAAUAUUUCCAUGACAAAGUUCUUGUUACCAUAGCAAAGUGACCAUAGGAAUAAUGUUUAAGACUAAACAUCUGUGUCUGUCAAAUGUCUCGGUAAGAUUUGCUUCCUCUACUGCAGAUGGAAAGCUGAAUUUUCCAGUGACUGUCCCAUGAAGUUGCCACUUCACAAGGUAUCAGAUGAUGAUGACGAUGAUGAUGAUGAUGAUGAUGAUGAUGAUGAUGAUGAUGAUGAUGGUGAUCAUAUCCAGAGAGAAGCAAAGUGAAUGUGUACCAUUGUGUCUUGAAUCCAGCUUGGCCAUAAGGAAAUGGGGCGAGACUUUGUCAUGUAUGUCGCUGAAGUUCAGCUAUGCAAAAAUGUUCACCUAUCCUUGAUCAACCAGUCCAGGAACCAUCAAAGAAGAAAAUGAGAUUCGACUUAGAAGACCUGUUCUUUAUAAACCCCUGCACAGCCCUAAUGAUCAACACCACUUCCAGUGCUCAUAAAUUACUGCUUCAAUAAUUGUUCUGCAAUUCUGCCUAUUCUCAUUGAAUGCUUCGUAUAAUCCCUUUAUUUACUUUGGGCUACGAUUCAUUUUUAUCAGUGAGUAUUGUACUUGUUUCAUCU